AUGAAGAACAGCAAGAAAGAUCAAAAAAAAAAAAAUCUCCCUGCAGAAGAGGGCAUGGUGCAUGUAUCUGCAAGUUGCAGCAGCCCGGAGAACAAAAAGGCUGCUGUUUGGAAAUUAAGGCAGAAGUAUAACGAGCUUAAAGGAACAGCGCAAGGAAAACUGAGAGUCCCAGCACUGCCCGGACCAAGAACAGCCCCGUCCCUGUGUCAUUGUCCUGGAGCCCAGGGGGUGCAGAUGUUACAGAAACCCAAAGCAGAGAGCUCCUUGUGCCUCGAGAGCACUCACUUGUGUCCUGGAUGACUUCAUAACUACAGGAAACAGAGCAGGAAAAGUGAGGUGACCAGUGCUCGGCCUUUUUCCCGCUGGCUGCACGGAGACCUGAGCGUGCAAGGAACAAAGAUGAUGCUGGCCCUGUAAGGAGGGCCAGGCUGCCUUGUUCUGAGAUCUGUUUUCUUUGCAAGCAUGGAUACUAUUUAAAAAACAAACAUUGCCCUGGAAUUAAAAUCUGAAAAAACUUUCUGCUUUGAAAACAUCAGAGUAUUUGGUGGGUUGGGUUUUAAUGUCAUGUUUUCGUAAUGUAAAAACCAUUCAAGUCCAAACGCAAGCUCCUAAAUAGCUGUUUUGCUGUAACCUAAUUAUCAGUGGAAACUGGAAUUCAACUUAAGUCACAGUGCAGGGAAAUGAAACAGCAUGGGCAGAGUGAAAGGCUGCUUGUCUGCCUGAACUAGAGCAUUGCACUCAUAUUUGAAGGAAGCGGGUAAACUUCUGGUGAAAAUGUCACCAGCAUUUCUGCCAAACGUUGCGACUUCAGCAAAUCUGCGUUCUCUGCUGGUAAUAUGUCCCAUCAGAGGAGGAGCAGCCUCCUCCUGCUCCAGCAGCGAGCCAAAGGGGAUUCCCAGGGGCUGGGGAGCAGAGGAUGCUCUCCUGCAGGCGCUGCUGCGUGCCAGGAGCUGAGAAGAGGGCUGAUCUCCUCGAGUCCUGCACACAUUGCCUAGGAGUGGGGGGAGACCUUGGUCUGUCAUCUGUCCCUUUGAACAGUCCCAGAGCGGACACAGGUUCAUUCAUCUUCUCUAAAAAAAAGUGAGGAUCAGUACAACUGGUGCUUUCAUUUGCUGCUUGCAUGCCUGGUGCAUGCAGGAGAUCUGUUAAGCUCCUUAAAACAUGUUUUAUUUUGCUCCGUUAACAAGUUUGACAUUGGAAAAGGAUAUGUUGCUCUAUUCAUCAUUUCAAUGAUGGUUUUGGGAAGGGAAUAAGAAGGCACUGAACAUCCCUUGCUCUGUGCAAGGCGAUUUUUUGUCUCUUUUUUUUUUUUUUUGGUAUU
rnacentral:lncRNA from 1 species